rnacentral:rRNA from 1 species
UACGUAGGGUGCAAGCGUUACUCGGAAUUACUGGGCGUAAAGCGUGCGCAGGCGGUUCGUUGUGUCGGUGGUGAAAGCCCCGGGCUUAACCUGGGAAUGGCCAUGGAAACUGGCGAACUGGAGUGUGGCAGAGGGGGGUGGAAUUCCGCGUGUAGCAGUGAAAUGCGUAGAGAUGCGGAGGAACACCGAUGGCGAAGGCAGCCCCCUGGGCUAGCACUGACGCUCAGGCACGAAAGCGUGGGGAGCAAACAGG